AAGCUCGUAGUUGAAUUUCGGGAUCAGACUGUCGGUCGUGCCUCGGUACGCACUGGCAUUAUUGGUUCCUACCUUCUGAAGAACCGCGAUGUCAUUAAUUUGGUGUCGCGGGGAAUCAGGACUGUUACUUUGAAAAAAUUAGAGUGUUUAAAGCAGGCUUACGCUUGAAUACAUUAGCAUGGAAUAAUGAAAUAGGGCUGCUGCCCCAUUUUGUUGGUUUCUGGGACCGUAGCAAUGAUUAAUAGGGAUAGUUGGG
rnacentral:rRNA from 1 species